UCUGGUUUAGCGGCGGACGGGUGAGUAACACGUGGGCAACCUGCCCUGCAGAUCGGGAUAACUCCGGGAAACCGGUGCUAAUACCGAAUAGUUUGUUUCACCUCCUGGUGAAACACGGAAAGACGGUCUCGGCUGUCACUGCAGGAUGGGCCCGCGGCGCAUUAGCUAGUUGGUGGGGUAAUGGCCCACCAAGGCGACGAUGCGUAGCCGACCUGAGAGGGUGAUCGGCCACACUGGGACUGAGACACGGCCCAGACUCCUACGGGAGGCAGCAGUGGGGAAUCUUAGACAAUGGGGGCAACCCUGAUCUAGCCAUGCCGCGUGAGUGAUGAAGGCCUUAGGGUUGUAAAGCUCUUUCAGCUGGGAAGAUAAUGUCGGUACCAGCAGAAGAAGCCCCGGCUAACUCCGUGCCAGCAGCCGCGGUAAUACGGAGGGGGCUAGCGUUGUUCGGAAUUACUGGGCGUAAAGCGCACGUAGGCGGACUGGAAAGUCAGAGGUGAAAUCCCAGGGCUCAACCUUGGA
rnacentral:rRNA from 1 species